UCUCUCUCUUGUGUGUUCAAUCCUUCAUCUACCUAACCCUAAUCACUAUCCCAUUCCAUCUGCUACAUAUUUUGCUUCUAUUAUACAAAAUAAUACAGUCAACAAGCACUGCUCUCCGUUCACUCACACCGUUUGAUUCAUCGGCUAAAACAUCUCAUGACGGAAAGACCACUGAUGAGGAUCAUCGUUGUUGUUGAUGUUAGGUUUAGCGAAGGAUUGCCGCCGAUCCUUACGGCAUUGAAGGUUUUAUUAACUCGAUGAGUGCUUGGAGUUGAUUUCGAAGUCGAUUAAGAACUCUAAGGUGUUGGUGUUAUCUUCUUGUGAGGGUUUCUGAUGGACUUGCUACUAUUGUCACCAAUUGCAGGACUCUGAAUCUAUAUAUUUAUCCAGCAUUCGGCAGUGCAAAGGCAUGUGAGCAGCAUAGAAGAUGUUCACUUGAAAGACAACAGUAGCAUCUUUGCAUAUUUAACUUCACUAAUAUGCACGGCUACUUACUGUUGAAUUCCAAACGCAGUGGACGGGAUAGAGGUUGUAGGGAAGGCUGCUCAGGUUGAGUAUUUUGACUCCAUUAUACAGUUUCAAUCAUGUUACAAGGUAUCUUCUACUUCUAAUUAUUGCUUAUGUUAAUUCUGUACCUGUACCUGUAACUGAAUUCUUAACCAUUCAGACUCAGUAUAAUGCUUAACCAAUUUUAAUGAGCGGUUAGGAUUCCGACAUUUGAAUCCUCCUAUCGACGAUGGUGAAGGUAUGGAAUUUAUAUUUUCUAAUAAACAUGUCUUGAAUUAUAAUAGAUUAUAUACAUUUACAAGCAAGAUCACGUUGAAUAGAUUAAGCUUUGUAUUCAUUUGACAAGAGAGAUUGAGUGUUUCUGAUGACAAAUUCAACCUGAUUGGUGUCUGAGUUGAGGGAUUGAUUGGAGGACUCAAGUUACUGAACUCUCUUGGCAACCAAGGUCAAGCACUUCGAUCCAUAAAAUAAUGCUUUUUAUUUUGGGUGUAGAAAAUAUUGAAUUCGUUAAUCUAUGCUAAACUUUUGAAUGUUUUUUAUCAACAUAAAAUAUUUGUGUGUGGAAGAAAUGGUUCAGAGAUGCUAUUGACAAACAUGAUGUUUUUAUGGACAGGGUAUUUUUGUACA
rnacentral:lncRNA from 1 species